UACGAAGGGGGCUAGCGUUGUUCGGAAUUACUGGGCGUAAAGGGCGCGUAGGCGGCCUGUUAAGUCGAACGUGAAAUCCCCGGGCUCAACCCGGGAACUGCGUCCGAUACUGGCAGGCUUGAAUUCGGGAGAGGGAUGCGGAAUUCCAGGUGUAGCGGUGAAAUGCGUAGAUAUCUGGAGGAACACCGGUGGCGAAGGCGGCAUCCUGGACCGAGAUUGACGCUGAGGCGCGAAAGCCAGGGGAGCAAACAGG
rnacentral:rRNA from 1 species